ensembl:lncRNA
CCACAGAUCCAGCAGCUGCUGAAGGAAGGGUUCCUGAGGGAGGAGAUCGUCCUGGAUAACGUCCCUAAGCUGCUCAACUGUCUCCGGGACUGUAACGUUUCCAUACGCUGGCUGAUGCUACACACUGCAGACUCCGGUAGGGCCUUUCUGUUGACGUCUAGGUCCAUGCAUCAAAUGGGCUUACAACUGAUUUAUGGAAGCAUCCAUAAAGGCCUUAUGAAGGGUUCAGGAAGCAUCCAUAAAGGGUUCAGGAAGCAUCCAUAAAGGGUUCAGGAAGCAUCCAUAAAGGGUUCAGGAAGCAUCCAUAAAGGGUUCAGGAAGCAUCCAUAAAGGGUUCAUGAAGCAUCCAUAAAGGGUUCAGGAAGCAUCCAUAAAGGCCUUAUGAAGGGUUCAGGAAGCAUCCAUAAAGGGUUCAGGAAGCAUCCAUAAAGGCCUUAUAAAGGUGACGCUGUGUCACGCCAGGCGAUACUAUAUCACGCCAGGUGCUCCUAUAUCACGCCAGGCGGCGCUGUGUCACGCCAGGUGCUCCUAUAUCACGCCAGGUGCUCCUAUAUCACGCCAGGCGCUCCUAUAUCACGCCAGGCGCUCCUAUAUCACGCCAGGCGCUCCUAUAUCACGCCAGGCGAUACUAUAUCACGCCAGGCGCUCCUAUGUCACGCCAGGCGGCGCUGUGUCACGUCAGGCGGCGCUGUGUCACGUCAGGCGGCGCUGUGUCACGCCAGGCUGCGCUGUGUCACGCCAGGUGCUCCUAUAUCAUGCCAGGCGAUACUAUAUCACGCCAGGUGCUCCUAUAUCAUGCCACA